GACGAACCGUGCGAACGUUGUUCGGAAUCACUGGGCUUAAAGGGCGCGUAGGCGGGUUGUCAAGUCCGGGGUGAAAGCCCCCAGCUCAACUGGGGAAGUGCCUUGGAUACUGGGAACCUCGAGGGAGGUAGGGGCGUGCGGAACUUCCGGUGGAGCGGUGAAAUGCGGUAGAUAUCGUAAGGAAGACCAGUGGCGAAGGCGGGUCUCUGGACAGUUCCUGACGCUGAGGCACGAAGGUCAGGGAGCAACGGGGAUAG
rnacentral:rRNA from 1 species